rnacentral:rRNA from 1 species
AUCUUUAAAGUUAAAAAAUUUGGCGGUAUUUUAGUCUGCUCAGAGGAACCUGUUUUUUAAUUGAUAGUCCACGAUAAUUUGUACUUUUGCUUUAAAUUUACAUAUCGUCGUUUUUAAAAAUCUUAGGAAGAAAUUUUUUCAGAUCAAGGUGUAGUUUAUGCAAAAGUUAAGAUGGGUUACAUUAAAAAGUUCAGAUAAAAUGGAUUUGAAAGUAAGCUCUAAAAUAUGUACAUAUUGCCCGUCGCUUUCAUUAUAAUGUGAAAUAAGUCGUAACAAAGUAGGCUUAUUGGAAAAUGAGCCUGGAAUGCAGGCUAGGGCUUGAUUAGCGUUUUAUUUACAUUAAAGGGGUAACUGUGAAAUUCAGUUUGGCUUGAAGUAUAGGUUACUUAAAAUUUUAUUUUAUUUAUUUUGACAAAAAAAUGUAAUGUUUUAUUAUUUUUUAAGAAAAAUUUUGUUAUAGGUUUAAUGUACUGUGAAGGAGCUUUUUUUAUUUUUUAAAAGAAGUCUUUGGUUGAUGUACCUGUGUCUCAGGCUUCAUUAAUUAGAAUUUCCCGAAUCAAAAGGGCCUAAUUUUACUGUGGAAAAAUUAUUUAUAAUUUCUUUUUAGUAAUGAAACGUUAUUCGUUUUUGAAUAUAUCUGGUUUUUUAAGAAAUAAAUUUAAUUAUUUUACAUUUAAUAAGAAAGGUAGGGGAUAAGCUUUUGAUUUUAUUUCUAAAUUGUAUAAUAUCACGAUAAUUUGUAGGAUUAGAAUUUUUCAUUUGUAGUAGUAUGUUAUAAUAAAUUUAUUUAGAUUUUUUAUUAAAAUAUUGGCUUAAAUUUUUUAAGUUGAGUAAUAAUGAUGAAAUUAGUAAGGUUAAUUUAAGGAAUUCGGCAAUU